AAUUUAAAAGUCACCGGUCACCGCUCGUUACUAUAAACAAGAUAAAUCUCUUAUCGAAGAUGAUAAUUACAAAUAGCAACUUUACUUUUAAAAUGUUUUACUUAACUUAUUUAUUGAUAUGAAUGUGCCAGUCUCCAUCAUAGAAUCAUGUUGACCUCCAGAUAUAAAGCUAUCUUAUUCCUGCAGGCCCUUCUAAUAGUCAUUGACUUCUUUAUGAAUGUUGCCACAGAACUCCUGCGAUUAGAAAAUGUUGUUUUACUGAUUCUAUACAUAAUCCAAUCAAUUGCCAUCAUGUUCUCAUUGAUCAUUGUGUUCCUGAUGUUCUUCAAUACAUUCAUCUUUCAAGCUGGUUUAGUUAGAUUAAUGGUGAACAAAUUCAAAAUAACUAUUAUUGUUACAUUUUUGUACUUUGUUCUUUGUACAGUUCUAAAUUGCUGGAUUAUGAAUCUACGCUGGAAGAAUGUUAACGAAUAUGUCUGGAAUAUCAGUGGUGUUCAAGUAAUAUAUGUAAUCCAGAGGUGCAGUGCGAUAUUUUACUAUUACUUUUAUAAACGAACUGCUCUGAAACUUGGUGAUCCAAUAUUUUAUCAAGAAUCUCAAUGGCUCAGGGACGAAUUUCUGAAACAUAAAUAAACAUUCUAUUUGUGAUGUUGGCUCAGUCAGAAGAAAUGUUUAGAAUUUUAUAUGAAACAUAUUGGAAGAUUUUAAGAUAAAAUAUCAUGGUUGAGAAGAAAUAUCAUGAAAUAUCUAACAGGACAGUUGAUCAUAGGUAUAUUGAAUAUCCCAAUGUAAAUUUGUAAAUUAAAGUCUAUCAGGUCUGAAGUUUUACAUUUCAGACAUAAAAAGUGGUUGGAGGUUAAAAAUAUAAAUAUUAAUAUAGUGAGAUUUUUAUAAAUAAUAUAUUCUCUUAAACAUUUGUUGUUUACACUUCUGCAUGCAAACACAUGCACACACACACACACACACACACACACACACACAAUAAAAAUAACAAAUGAAGCUGAGAGUUUAUUUCAUGACUUGUGUUUCAUGUUACUGCAGUCUUACCUUUAGGUGAAACUAAGUGUGAAACUCAAGUCACAAGACAAACUCUAAGCUUCGGUUUCUUUAAAAAAUACGAAACUACACUCACACACACACAGAACUAUCAUUGUCUUAUAUAAAAAGUAUUAAAAUUCUCUUUUAAUAGUUGAUUGAUGAGUAUUCAUUGUGAGAUCAACUAUCAGUUCUGUGU